GAUGAGGAAAGCUGCGAUGAUGGAAUGAGCAAUGGCGAGAGAACCAGGACUGGUAAAUCACCAACUGCACAGAGAAAGGGAGAAUAGGUUGACGUCUCUUCUCUGGUCCCAGACUGCCUCUGCUAACCACUUACCUCCAGAACUCUCCAAUUCCACGGUUGCCCUUUGUUGUAGCUUACCAAAUCCUGCCAGCUCACCAACGCUUUGAGAAUCCACAUGCCAU